ACCCAGGUGGCGGAAUUGGUAGACGUGCUAGCUUGAGGGGCUAGUGACCGCAAGGUCGUGCAAGUUCGAGUCUUGUUCUGGGUAC
rnacentral:tRNA from 1 species